rnacentral:rRNA from 1 species
UACGGAGGAUGCGAGCGUUAUCCGGAUUUAUUGGGCUUAAAGGGUGCGUAGGCGGAUCGUUAAGUCAGUGGUCAAAUUGAGGGGCUCAACCCCUUCCCGCCAUUGAAACUGGCGAUCUUGAGUGGAAGAGAAGUAUGCGGAAUGCGUGGUGUAGCGGUGAAAUGCAUAGAUAUCACGCAGAACCCCGAUUGCGAAGGCAGCAUGCCGGCUUCCUACUGACGCUGAAGCACGAAAGCGUGGGGAUCGAACAGG